UACGUAGGGGGCGAGCGUUGUCCGGAUUUAUUGGGCGUAAAGAGCGUGUAGGCGGCCAGGUAGGUCUGCUGUGAAAACUCGAGGCUCAACCUCGAGACGUCGGCGGAAACCAUCUGGCUAGAGUCCGGAAGAGGAGAGUGGAAUUCCUGGUGUAGCGGUGAAAUGCGCAGAUAUCAGGAAGAACACCCGUGGCGAAGGCGACUCUCUGGAACGGUACUGACGCUGAGACGCGAAAGCGUGGGGAGCGAACAGG
rnacentral:rRNA from 1 species